rnacentral:lncRNA from 1 species
AAAACGCAGAAGAAAGAGAGGAAAAAAACAUCGUCCGUCGCGCGGCUUCACAAAACCGACGAAUCGGAGGCCGGAAACGAUAGAAUUUUCGGGGGCCGAAGGAGGGGCCGAGAAAGCGCAGCUUGUCGGCCCAAGGCGUCCGGCUCGGAGUGCUGUUUCCGGAUUGGGGCUGCACGUCAAAAACGGUCGCCCGAGCGCAAAGUUACGGCCGUUUUUCGGAACCCGGGCGCGAAUCGCGCCGUGCGCGCCCCAACCCGCGCACCGCGGAGGCGCCAUAAGAGGGCCGGCCGACACAAUAUUUUCGGAUGCGAUCAUACCAGCACUAAAGCACCGGAUCCCAUCAGAACUCCGCAGUUAAGCGUGCUUGGGCGAGAGUAGUACUAGGAUGGGUGACCCCCUGGGAAGUCCUCGUGUUGCAUCCCUCCUUUUUGCCGGCGGCCCGGGCGAGUCCGACGGAACCAUUUAUUUUUCCGACGGCUUAGAAAUUACUAGAUUUUGCAAUCAUUUUCGCGCGAUUGCUGUUGAAUUCUAUUGAAAAAGAAAUUAAAAAAUCCGCGUCGCGUCGCUGCCGCGCUUCCCCGAUGUAUCGUUGUAAUUCGUUGUCGUGAAAUUAUCGAUUGUCGUUUUUCGAAGGAGUUGCCGAGAAAGGGCAGCUUAUGCCCAUGGCUUCGGCCUCGGAGCGCUGUUUCCGGACUGGGGCUGCACGUCAAAAACGGUCGCCCGAGCGCAAAGUUACGGCCGUUUUUCGGAAGUCGGGCGCGAAUCGCCCCGUGCGCGCCCCAACCCGCGCACCGCGGAGGCGCCAUAAGAGCGCCGGCCGACACAAUAUUUUCGGAUGCGAUCAUAUCAGCACUAAAGCACCGGAUCCCAUCAGAACUCCGCAGUUAAGCGUGCUUGGGCGAGAGUAGUACUAGGAUGGGUGACCCCCUGGGAAGUCCUCGUGUUGCAUCCCUCAUUUUUGCCGGCGGCCCGGGCGAGUCCGAUCGAACCAUUUAUUUUUCCGACGGCUUAGAAAUUACUAGAUUUUGCAAUCAUUUUCGCGCGAUUGCUGUUGAAUUCUAUUGAAAAGAAAUUAAAAAAUCCGCGUCGCGCCGAUGCCGCGCUUCCCCGAUGUUGCUGUCGUUCUCUGAAAUUAUCGUUGUAAUUUUUCGAAACGAAAUGAAAGAUUCGCACGGCCUCGGCCGGUCGAUUUCCGCGGACGCACACGAGUUCGCCGAAAAGGGAAGAGAAAUAAUAAAAAAAAAAAAAAAAAAAAAAAAAAAAAAAAAAAAAAAAAAA